rnacentral:rRNA from 1 species
UGGCGGGACGGGGUGGAGUAAUGUCUGGGAAACUGCCCGAUGGAGGGGGGUAACUACUGGAAACGGUAGCUAAUACCGCAUAACGUCGCAAGACCAAAGAGGGGGACCUUCGGGCCUCUUGCCAUCGGAUGUGCCCAGAUGGGAUUAGCUAGUAGGUGGGGUAACGGCUCACCUAGGCGACGAUCCCUAGCUGGUCUGAGAGGAUGACCAGCCACACUGGAACUGAGACACGGCCCAG